CAGCCGCCGCGGUAAAACGUAGGGGGCAAACGUUAUCCGGAAUUACUGGGUGUAAAGGGAGCGUAGACGGUUAAACAAGUCUGAAGUGAAAUGCCGGGGCUCAACCCCGGAGCUGCUUUGGGAACUGUAGAACUGGAGUGUCGGAGGGGUAAGCGGAAUUCCCAGUGUAGCGGUGAAAUGCGUAGAUAUUGGGAGGAACACCGGCGGCGAAGGCGGCUUACUGGACGACAACUGACGUUGAGGCUCGAAGGCGUGGGUAGCAAACAGGAUUAGAUACCCCUGUAGUCCCUGUCUCUUAUAC
rnacentral:rRNA from 1 species